rnacentral:rRNA from 1 species
CACGUAGGGGGCAAGCGUUGUCCGGAUUUAUUGGGCGUAAAGAGCUCGUAGGCGGUUCGGUAAGUCGGGUGUGAAACCUCCAGGCUCAACCUGGAGAUGCCACCUGAUACUGCUGUGACUCGAGUCCGGUAGGGGAGCGUGGAAUUCCUGGUGUAGCGGUGAAAUGCGCAGAUAUCGGGAGGAACACCUGUGGCGAAAGCGGCGCACUGGACCACAACUGACGCUGAGGCGCGAAAGCUAGGGGAGCAAACAGG